rnacentral:misc_RNA from 1 species
GAUGAAGAACGCAGCGAAAUGCGAUAAGUAAUGUGAAUUGCAGAAUUCAGUGAAUCAUCGAAUCUUUGAACGCACAUUGCGCCCGCCAGUAUUCUGGCGGGCAUGCCUGUUCGAGCGUCAUUUCAACCAUCAAGCCCCCGGGCUUGUGUUGGGGACCUGCGGCUGCCGCAGGCCCCGAAAACCAGUGGCGGGCUCGCUGUCACCCCGAGCGUAGUAGUUUACACCUCGCCCAGGGCGUGCCGCGGGUUCCCGGCCGUUAAACCCCCCCAUACCACAAGGUUGACCUCGGAUCAGGUAGGAAGACCCGCUGAACUUAAGCAUAUCAAUAAGCGGAGGA